GCCUGUGUGGAUUAAUGGUAAAUCACCUCCGCUGCGUGAACCCCUCCGUCUCCUGUGGAGGAAACGUAGGUUCGACUCCUACUGGAGGCG